rnacentral:lncRNA from 1 species
AACUCACAUUGUACUUUGUCCAGUAGUGCACUUAAUCCCCAUGAAAGAAAGAAAUGAAUCACUGCAACAAGACUCUUGUCUUUCUAAUGACUCUUUCUCAAAUUAGAAUGAGUAAUUAUUAUAGGGAUAAAUAACUAUGAGUUUCUCAGAAUAGAUAAAUUUCCUCAAGUCAUGAGACAGCACUCACAGGAUUCCCCGAUCCCAAAUCCUGGAAACGCUAAGCUUCUGACACCCCCAUCCUUGCGUUCAGGAACUGAGACAUUUAAAUGGGCAUGAGUGGAAAAAUCCACAUUGGCUCACAGGAUAUGAAUACGGUUUCCUUACUUCAAGUGGCAUCUUAGUGGGAAUUGUGUUUUGCACACCAUUGAAGAGGCCAAGCCCCGGGAGAAAGCCUCUAACUUUCAAUAGUGGUGUAUAAAUAGAGUGGGGGAGUUAGAAGCGAACAAUUGCCUUGCUGCUUUCCCAGGCCAACCAUCAAGGGCGUCAGACUCCAGAACCAAUCCCAUGAGAAAUAUCACCAAUGUGUAUUGCCAUAGUGGUUUCCAUCUUAAAAGCUGGUAUUUACUGUUCAGUCAAGAGUGUACGGGAAUCAAAAAAAGAGUGAGUAUUGUUCAUCCUGAUAAAGCGAGUCCAAGACAAAUACCAACUUUUUGGAGAAAACGGAUACUCUAAAGCAAUUCAGAUGUCUUCAAGAGUAAAUUAAUUUAUCUUGCCUCUUUGUUGUUAUAUAAGUUCAUUUUCUCUCUUUCAAAAUUCAGGUGUUUCUAGUGUCUAGGAAAUGUCUUGACAAUUAGGCUAACGUCAAUAAACAGACUAACGUCAAAGAAAUUGUUUCCCCAAGCUCUGGUCAUGAUCCUUGAGCACAAAUGAAGAACCUAUCUAUUUGUCAUGCAUUGUUCUCUUUAAUCUUAGCUUGAUGAGAAGAAGCUGAGUUAGGUUUCUUGGCCGAGAUCUACCAUCUCCAAGAACUUGGGUCACUCUCUCCAAUCCAGUGUAUGUACAGAAAGUAGAAGGGCCUUAGGCAGUCCAGAAUUUAGCAAAACAUAAGACUGUCCAACUCUACAGCAGCAAAAUUACAGCUGAAAAUGGACAGGACUUCCCAUUAUGGUGCAGCAAAUUAAGGGUCCAACAAUGCUGCAGCUGUGGUGUAGGUCAGAGCUUCAGCUCAGAUUUGAUCCUUAGCCGAGGAACUUCAUGCUGUGGGUGUGGGGAAUAAAAGAAAAGAAAACAAAACAAAACAAAAUGGACCAAAACUUCUCCUCCAAUUAAGAACAUUAACAUUUAAAAAUAAAAUCAAUACCAGGAUGGGCCAGGAAUGUUUUAUGGGAGAUGCUCUCCCAGUAUCAUUGUGACCUCAAAAGAUUCUAGAUAAAGCACAAACAUUCUGAUUUCUCUCAGAAGUACAUUAUGGACCUGUCAUCCAUGAAUUGUAGCUGAUUAUUUUGGAAGUGAUUUAUAUUGUCUAAACUAUCUUCUGGGGAUAACAAAUAUCAUAUAUAGACACUACUCACUAUGUGAGACAUAUCAUUCUUGUUUGAGCUAAGUUUCUGUCUCUUGAAUUUUAUAGGUCAUUUUCCACAUUCUAUUAAAUCAGAUUUUAUGAACAAAUCUGAAUUAUUUUCCUCCAUAGUUUAGAUGAUUUUAGAGAUUUUAAAUAUCCCUUCUUGGCCUCUGCUUUUUCAAGCUAAAGAGUGUUUUUUUGUUUUGUUUUGUUUUGUUGUUUUUCAGCAGUUUCACCAGAAAUAUCAAGUAAACCUGUAAAAGUCAAAUUCUCUCAGAGGUAGGGCCCCAAUUUUUUUUUUUUUUAUGAAGAAAAUAUACAGAUCAUGUAUAGGUAAUCCUUGUGGGGAACAAGGAAUUAAUAGUCCAAAAAGAGAUAAAAAAUAUACUGCAUUGUUUCUGAGGACCAUCUCCAGGGAUCAUGCGUAUUUGACUCAGACACACUGGAGAGAUUUAUCAGUUUUACAAAAAAACCUCUGAAGUUUUCAGCCUCCCCUCUGGCUAACCCCACUUUUGUUGCAGGUAAAGACAGUAGUCACUGAGUGAUUAAACCGCAUCAGAACAUUUACUGUUUACAUACAUGAUAUUUUUUCCUCCUCAAUACACUAAAGACAUCCUCAAUACAAUAUGUAGAUCUGAGAAAUAGGUAGGAUUGUCUCCAUCUUACAAGCAACUGAGACUUAGAGAAAGGUUAAAAAACAUGCAGAUUGUCAAAUAGCUAGUGAGUUCCAACAAGACUAGGAUUCAAACCCAGGAGUGUCUUGAGUGUCCAGCUGAGUAGCUGGAAUGUUUCUAUCCCUGCCAUUGGAAGGAAUCUUAUUCCUUUAAGUUGAUCCUCCCUUUUUAAGAUACAGGUAUAUCCUAAUAAUCGUGGUUCCUUUACACCAGCUACAAAUUUCCAUUAUUUUAGUUAAAUCCAUAACCAUGGACAUAUAUCUACUUCAUCUCUCUCUCUGGCUUUUUUAUAUUUUGAAUGAGAUUAUAGCACAUGGACUAGCAUCCAUCCCACAUGAGUUGAUGUGAAUGGCAGCAAUGUUAUUAAUUAAAAAUGUCAGAUGCUACUAGUUUUCAAUUUGGAUGGUUGAAAUUAUAUAUAUGGCUAUUUCCAACUUGUAAAUGAAGUCUUUUAUCCCCAUGAAGCAUCUGAAAUGAGAGAAAUAAAUGUACUAUUGCUAAAUAUUUGGGGGAUUAUUUGGUAAGCCAGUGAAAACAGAAUCUUUCAUUUGUUUCACCAACGGUGGGAAGGUUUGCUUUUUAAUUUUCCUAUAUGGGUCCCCUGGGAAUGAGUGCACAUAACACUAAAUAAUAUUCCUUUCAUUCUUUUUUUCCAAAAACACUAUUAUUUCCACAUGGUGACAUCCAUUCCUCUUUUCCAAAAGGCCCCCAACAAACUCCCUAAACAGAUUCAAUAAAACUCAAAAACAUAAGAGAUGGUUUAUUUUAACUUCUGUCCCAAAGUCUAAAGCAAGACAACUUUUUAAUUGAGGCACAUGUUCAAGACUAUAGCUUAUGGAGUCCCUGUUUUGGCUCAAUGGUAAUGAACCCGACUAGCAUCCAGGAGAACGCAGGUUCGAUCCCUGGCCCUGCUCAGUGAUUUAAGGAUCUAGUGUUGCUAUGAGCUGUGGUAUAGAUCGAAGACACAGCUCGGACUCCACAUUACUGUGGCUGUGGCACAGGCCAGCAGCCUGCAGCUCUGAUUGGACCCCUAGCCUGGGAACUUCCAUAUGCUGGGGAUGAGGCCCUAAAAAAAAAUUUUUUUAAUUAAAAAAAAAGAGAUUGUAGCUUAUUUUCUCCAAAUUAAAAUAUUUUUAAGAAUAAAACAAAUUUAUUCACUUUGGGGGGACUUUGACUUUGAAAGGAUAAACUCAUCAGGACAUCUGGACCAAAAUUUCAAUUCAUCAUCCCUCUCCAUUGUGAGGGGGGCUUGGGGUACAAUAUGGCAGCUGGCUUUGGAGAAGAAAGCCAGGGCCUAAGUCAGAACUUCGAACUAUUAAACAUCAGCUAAAACAUCCAUGCUCUACAGUAAGCGUAACAUAAGGCAGUUUGCUAUGAAAUUAUUCAUCUUGUCGGACUUAUAGACUAUCCCAGUCAAAUAAGUUUAGUUUCCUUCUUCUUUCCUAUUGACAAGACACACUGCCAGGAACGAGGUAAACAGUUGAGUUUUCUUUCACACAGUGGCUUAUACCUUCACUGACACUGCCACUUUUUAUCCUAUGUCACCACAGGAAGCUAAUAUUUGGUAGGACACACUUUCAGAAACUAUUGGUCAUCAGAGGAAAGGGCUCAAGGUCUAACUCGGAUGGGGUUCAGGCUAAAUAUUUGUCUCUUAAACUUUAUAGUUGUCACUUGGACAAAUCAUCAGACCUCAUCUAGAAAGUGCAGGAUGGGAAUAAUCCUUAUUCUCUCCCUUUCUCGGAGACAGAUGAGGGGAAGUCAAAUAAGGGGUGUGAAAGCAUCUCUUUAGUAGUAAACUUGCAUGUAGUUAUUAUUUUCAUUAUUUUUUAAAGAAAAAUUAGGUGACUUUUUUAUUGCAGCAUAAUGGGUUCAUAAGUCAAUGCUUGAGCUAGCAGCUCUGAGAGGGCUCCUCGGACAUCCAAUUUUACAGCCUUGAAAAAGGAUCUCAAGUGACUUUUGGAUGUGGUCUUUGUGUUUCUUAUAAUGUGCCUGAGACAGAAUGGCCACAUGUUUGUUUUUGACCUAGUACAUUAGUGAGCCCAGAUUCAGAACCACCAGAAACACAGGAGGUACUAUAUAUACUAUCUCUAUCCAUUAGCUAAAAU